GACGAACGCUGGCGGCGUGCUUAACACAUGCAAGUCGAACGGAAACUCCCUGCUUUUGUGGGGUGCUCGAGUUGCGACCGGGUGAGUAACACGUGAGUACCCUGCCCCUGACCUUGGGAUAACUUCAUGCAACUGGGGCUAAUACCGGAUAGGAGCUCCUGCUGCAUGGUGGGGGUUGGAAAGUUUCGGCGGUUGGUGAUGGACUCGCGUCUUAUCAGCUUGUUGGUGGGGUAGUGGCAUACCAUGGCUUUGACGGGUAGCCGGCCUGGGAGGGUGACCGGACACGUUGGGACUGAGCUACGGCACAGACUCCUACGGGAGGCAGCGGAGGGGAAGAUUGCACAAUGGGCGGAAGCCUGAUGCAGCAACGCCGCGUCCGGGAUGACGGCAUUCGGGUUGUAAACCGCAUCCGCCUGUGACGAAGCGUGAGUGACGGUAAUGGGUAAAGAAGCACCGGCUAACUACGUG
rnacentral:rRNA from 1 species